ensembl:lncRNA
CCCCCCAAUGACCCCAAGUGCCCCCAAAUAACCCCAAGUGACCCCCCAAAUGACCCUAUGUGACCCCCAAAUGACCCUAUGUGACCCCCAAAUGACCCCAAAACGACCCCCAAUGACCCCAAGUGUCCCCAAAUGACCCCAAGUGACCCUUUGACCUGAAGUAACCCCCAAAUGACCCCAAGUGACCCCCAAUGGCCCCACGUGACCCCAAAUGCCCUCAAAUGACCCCAAAAUGACCCCCCCCACGACCCCCAAAGUGACCCCCAGAAUGACCCCACAAAUCACAACGACCCCAAAUAGAGAUGGCUCCAAAUCACAAUGAUGGCCACAAAUCACAAUGACCCCAAAUCACAAUGACCCCAAAUAGAGAUGGCCCCAAAUAGGGAUGACCCCAAAUAGGGAUGACCCCAAAUCACAAUGACCCCAAACAGAAAUGAUGACCCCAAAUCGCAACGACCCCAAAUAGUGAUGACCCCAAAUAGAGAUGUCCCCAAAUCACAAUGGCCCCAAACAGAGAUGACCCCAAACAGAGAUGAUGACCCCAAAUCACAAUGACCCCAAAUAGAGAUGACCCCAAAUCACAAUGACCCCAAAAGGGGUGAUCCCAAAUCCAUUGCCCCAAAUAGAGAUGAUCCCAAAUCACAAUGACGUCCCCAAAUCCGUGGCCCCAACUCCCAAUGAUGGCCCCAAAUAGAGAUGACCCCAAAUAGAGAUGACCCCAAAUCACAACGGCCCCAAAUAGAGAAAACCCCAAAUCGCAAUGACACCAAAUAGAGAUAACCCCAAACAGAGAUGACCCCAAAUCACAGUGAUGGCCCCAAAUCCAUGGCCCCAAAUAGAGAUGUCCCCAAAUCACAACGACCCCAAAUAGAGAUGACCCCAAAUAGAGAUGACCCCAAAUCACAAUGACCUCAAACAGAGAUGAUGACCCCAAAUCACAACGACCCCAAAUAGAGAUAACCCCAAACAGAGAUAAUGACCCCAAAUCACAACGACCCCAAAUAGAGAUAACCCCAAACAGAGAUGACCCCAAAUAGAGAUGUCCUCAAAUCACAGUGAACCCAAAUAGGGAUGACCCCAAACAGAGAUGAUGACCCCAAAUCACAACAACCCCAAAUAGAGAUAACCCCAAGUAGAGAUGGCCCCAAAUCACAACGACCCCAAAUAGGGAUGACCCCAAAUCACAGUGAUGACCCCAAAUCUAUUGCCCCAAAUAGAGAUGACCCCAAAUCACAAUGACGUCACCAAAUCCAUGGCCCCAAAUCCCAAUGAUGGCCCCAAAUCACAAUGACCCCAAAUAGAGAUGACCCCAAAUAGAGAUGACCCCAAAUAGGGAUGACCCCAAAUAGGGAUGACCCCAAAUAGAGAUGACCCCAAAUCAAAACAACCCCAAAUAGAGAUGGCCUCAAAUUGAGAUGUUCCCAAACAGAGAUGUCCACAGAGCACAACAGCCCCAAAUAGAGAUAACCCCAAAUCACAAUGACCCCAAAUACAGAUAACCUCAAAUCACAAUGACCCCAAAUAGAGAUGACCCCAAACAGAGAUGAUGACCCCAAAUCACAACGACCCCAAAUGCGGAUGUCGCCACAUAGAGAUGUCCCCAAAUCACACUGAUGGCCCCAAAUCACAACGACCCCAAAUAGGGAUGACCUCAAAUAGAGAUGACCCCAAAUCUAUGUCCCCAAAUCACAAUGAGGACCCCAAAUCACAACGACCCUGAAAGGGGAUGACCCCAAAUCAAUGUUCCCAAAUAGAGAUGGCCCCAAAACCCAAUGAUGGCCCUAAAGAGAGACGACCCCAAAUCCCAAUGAUGGCCCCAAAGAGAGACGACCCCAAAUCCCAAUGAUGGCCCCAAAUCCCAAUGAUGGCCCCAAAGAGAGACGACCCCAAAUCCCAAUGAUGGCCCCAAAUCACAACGACCCCAAAUAGGGGUGACCCCAAAUAGAGAUGACCCCAAAUCUAUGUCCCCAAAUCACAAUGAGGACCCCAAAUCACAACGACCCUGAAAGGGGAUGACCCCAAAUCAAUGUCCCCAAAUAGAGAUGACCCCAAAUCCCAAUGAUGGCCCCAAAGAGAGACGACCCCAAAUCCCACUGAUGACCCCAAAUCCCAACAACCCCAAAUGCGGAUGUCGCCACAUAGAGAUGUCCCCAAAUCACACUGAUGGCCCCAAAUCACAACGACCCCAAAUAGAGAUGACCCCAAAUCUAUGUCCCCAAAUCACAAUGAGGACCCCAAAUCACAACGACCCCAGAAGGGGAUGACCCCAAAUCAAUGUCCCAAAUAGAGAUGACCCCAAAUCCCAAUGAUGGCCCCAAAGAAAGACGACCCCAAAUCCCACUGAUGACCCCGAAUCACAACGACCCGAAAAGGGGAUGACCCCAAAUCAAUGUCCCCAAAUAGAGAUGGCCCCAAAACCCAAUGAUGGCCCUAAGAGAGACGACCCCAAAUCCCAAUGAUGGCCCCAAAGAGAGACGACCCCAAAUCCCAAUGAUGGCCCCAAAUCCCAAUGAUGGCCCCAAAGAGAGACGACCCCAAAUCCCAAUGAUGGCCCCAAAUCACAACGACCCCAAAUAGGGGUGACCCCAAAUAGAGAUGACCCCAAAUCUAUGACCCCAAAUCACAAUGAGGACCCCAAAUCACAACGACCCUGAAAGGGGAUGACCCCAAAUCAAUGUCCCCAAAUAGAGAUGACCCCAAAUCCCAAUGAUGGCCCCAAAGAGAGACGACCCCAAAUCCCACUGAUGACCCCAAAUCCCAACAACCCCAAAUGCGGAUGUCGCCACAUAGAGAUGUCCCCAAAUCACACUGAUGGCCCCAAAUCACAACGACCCCAAAUAGAGAUGACCCCAAAUCUAUGUCCCCAAAUCACAAUGAGGACCCCAAAUCACAACGACCCCAGAAGGGGAUGACCCCAAAUCAAUGUCCCCAAAUAGAGAUGACCCCAAAUCCCAAUGAUGGCCCCAAAGAAAGACGACCCCAAAUCCCACUGAUGACCCCGAAUCACAACGACCCGAAAAGGGGAUGACCCCAAAUCAAUGUCCCCAAAUAGAGAUGGCCCCAAAACCCAAUGAUGGCCCUAAAGAGAGACGACCCCAAAUCCCAAUGAUGGCCCCAAAGAGAGACGACCCCAAAUCCCAAUGAUGGCCCCAAAUCCCAAUGAUGGCCCCAAAGAGAGACGACCCCAAAUCCCAAUGAUGGCCCCAAAUCACAACGACCCCAAAUAGGGGUGACCCCAAAUAGAGAUGACCCCAAAUCUAUGUCCCCAAAUCACAAUGAUGACCCCAAAUCACAACGACCCCAAAAGGGGAUGACCCCAAAUCAAUGUCCCCAAAUAGAGAUGACUCCAAAUCCCAAUGAUGGCCCCAAAGAGAGACGACCCCAAAUCCCAAUGAUGACCCCAAAUCACAACGACCCCAAAUGCGGAUGUCGCCACAUAGAGAUGUCCCCAAAUCGCACUGAUGGCCCCAAAUCACAACGACCCCAAAAGGGGAUGACCCCAAAUCUAUGUCCCCAAAUAGAGGUGGCCCCAAAUCCCAAUGAUGGCCCCAAAUCCCAAUGAUGGCCCUAAAGAGAGACGACCCCAAAUUCCAAUGAUGGCCCCAAAGAGAGACGACCCCAAAUCCCAAUGAUGGCCCCAAAUCCCAAUGAUGGCCCUAAAGACAGACGACCCCAAAUCCCAAUGAUGGCCCCAAAGAGAGACGACCCCAAAUCCCACUGAUGACCCCAAAUCCCAACGAUCCCAAAUGCGGAUGUCGCCACAUAGAGAUGACCCCAAAUCACACUGAUGGCCCCAAAUCACAACGACCCCAAAUAGGGAUGACCCCAAAUCACACUGAUGGCCCCAAAUCCACGUCCCCAAAUGGAGAGGUCCCCAUGUCACGACAUCCCCACGUCACACUGUCCCCAUGUCGCGACAUCCCCAUGUCACGCUGACCCCAUGUCGUGACAUCCCCAUGACGUGACAUCCCCAUGUCACGACAUCCCCAUGUCAUACUGACCCCAUGUUGUGACAUCUCCAUGUCACACUGUCCCCAUGUCACGACAUCCCCAUGUCGCGACAUCCCCAUGUCACCAUAUCUCCAUGUCACACUGUCCCUAUGUCACGACAUCCCCAUGUCACACUGUCCCCAUGUCACGACAUCACAUUGUCACAAUGUCCCCAUGUCACGACAUCCCCAUGUCAUAUCAUCCCCAUGUCAUGACAUCCCCAUAUCGGGACAUCCCCAUGUCGCACUGUGCCCAUGUCACGACAUCCCCAUGUCACGACAUCCUCAUGUCACACUGUCCCCAUGUCACGACAUCCCCAUGUCUCCACAUCCCCAUGUCACAUCCCCAUGUCGCGACAUCCCACUGUCAGACUGUCCCAUGUCACGACAUCCCCAUGUCAUAAUAUCCCCACGUCAUAUCAUCCCCAUGUCACGACAUCCCCAUGUCACACCGUCCCCAUGUCACGACAUCCCCAUGUCACGACAUCUCAUUGUCACACCGUCCCCAUGUCACGACAGCCCACUGUCAGACUGUCCCAUGUCACGACAUCCCUAUGUCAUAAUAUCCCCACGUCAUAUCAUCCCCAUGUCACGACAUCCCCAUGUCACACCGUCCCCAUAUCACGACAUCCCCAUGUCACGACAUCCCCAUGUCACACCGUCCCCAUAUCACAACGUCCCCAUGUCACGACAUCUCAUUGUCACACCGUCCCCAUGUCACGACAGCCCACUGCCAGACUGUCCCCAUGUCACGACAUCCCCAUAUCACGACAUCCCCAUCGCGUUUCAACAUCCCCACGUCACACUGUCCCCAUGUCGUGACAUCCCCAUGUCAUAAUAUCCCCAUGUCACGACAUCCCCAUGUCACGCUGUCCCCAUGUCACAACAUCCCCAUGAUCUGCUGCCCCCACGUCACGACAUUCCUAUGUCACGACAUCCCCAUGUCACCACAUCCCCAUGUCACGACAUCCCCAUGUCACGCUGUCCCCAUGUCACGACAUCCCCAUGAUCCGCUGCCCCCAUGUCACGACUUUCCUAUGUCACGACAUCACGAGGUCACGACAUCCCCAUGUCACGAUAUCCCCAUGUCACGUCAGCCCCAUGUCACGACAUCCUCAUGUCAGGACAUCCCCACGUCACGCUGUCCCCAUGUCACGACAUCCCCAUGUCGUGACAUCCCCAUAUCAAAACAUCCCCAUGUCACGAUAUCCCCAUGACAUGACAUCUCGCUGUCUCGAUAUCCCCAUGUCACGACAUCCCCAUGUCACAACAUCUCCCUAUCACGAUAUCUCCAUGUCACACUGUCCCCUUGUGAUGAUAUCCCCAUGUCACACUGUCCCCAUGUCACGACAUCCCCAUGAUCCGCUGCCCCCAUGUCGUGACUUUCCUAUGUCAUGACAUCCCCAUGUCACAUCCCCAUGUCACGACAUCCCCAUGUCACACUGUCCCCAUAUCAUGACAUCCCCAUGUCACGACAUCCCCAUAUCACGACAUCCCCAUAUCACAACGUCCCCAUGUCACGACAUCUCAUUGUCACACCGUCCCCAUGUCACGACAGCCCACUGCCAGACUGUCCCCAUGUCACGACAUCCCCAUAUCACGACAUCCCCAUCAUGUUUCAACAUCCCCAUGUCACAGUGUCCCCAUGUCACGACAUCCCCACGUCACACAGUCCCCAUGUCGUGACAUCCCCAUGUCAUAAUAUCCCCAUGUCAUGACAUCCCCAUGUCACAGUGUCCCCAUGUCACAACAUCCCCAUAUUACGACAUCCUCAUGUCAUGACAUCCCCAUGUCACACUGCCCCCAUAUCAUGAUAUCCCCAUGACACGACAUCCCCAUGUCACGAUAUCACCAUGUCACACUGUCCCCAUGUCACGACAUCCCCACAUCACAAUGUCCCCAUGUCACAUUGUCCCCAUAUCACAACAUCCCCAUAUCAUGACAUCCCCAUGUCACGACAUCCCCACGUCACACUGUCCCCAUGUCACGACAUCCCCAUAUUGUGACAUCCUCAUGUCUCGACAUCCCCACGUCACACUGUCCCCACGUCACAGUAUCCCCAUGUCACGACAUCCCCAUGUCAUGAUAUCACCAUGUCCCACUGUCCCCAUGUCACGACAUCCCCAUAUAGCGACAUCCUCAUGACGCGACAUCCCCAAGUCACACUUUCCCCAUAUCAUGAUAUCCCCACGUCACGACAUCGACAUGUCACAAUGUCCCCAUGUCACGAUAUCACCAUGUCACCCUCAUCCCCGUGUCACGACAUCCCCACCUCACAGCAUCCUCAUGUCGCGACAUCCCCAUGUCACACUGUCCCCAUGUCACGAUAUCCCCAUGUCACGGAAUCUGCAUAUCACGAUAUCCCCAUGUCACGACAUCGCGAUCUUACGCCAUCCCCACCUCACGAUAUCCCCAUGUCGUGACAUAUCGAUGCCACGAUAUCCCCACGUCAUGACAUUCUCGUGUUACGGCAUCCCCACGGCACGCUGUCCCCGUGUCACGACGUCCCCACAUCGCGACGUCCCCACAUCGCGACAUCCCCAUGUCGCGACAUCUCCAUGACAUGGCAUCCCCAUGACACGAUAUCCCCAUGUCGCGACAUUCCCAUGUCACAAUGUCCCCAUAUCGUGACACCCCCAUGACACGACAUCACCGUGUCACAGUAUCCCCAUGUCACGAGAUCUCCUGGACACGACAUCCCCAUGUAUGUCACGACAUCCCCACGUCACGAUAUCACCAUGUCACCCUCAUCCCCAUGUCACGACAUCCCCAUGUCACGCCAUUCUCAUGUCAGGACAUCCCCACGUCACGCUGUCCCCAUGUCGUGACAUCCCCAUAUCAAAACAUCCCCAUGUCACGAUAUCCCCAUAUCACGAUAUCUCCACGUCACGACAUCCCCACGUCACACUGUCCCCUUGUGAUGAUAUCCCCACGUCACACUGUCCCCAUGUCACGACAUCCCCAUGUCACAACAUCUCCAUAUCACGAUAUCUCCAUGUCACACUGUCCCCUUGUGAUGAUAUCCCCAUGUCACGACAUCCCCAUGUCACACUGUCCGCAUGUCACGACAUCCCCAUGUCACGACAUCCCCAUACCACAACAUCCCCGUGUCCUGAUAACCCCAUAUCACAACAUCCUCAUGUCACGACAUCCCCAUUUAAUGAUAUCCCCAUGUCACGACAUCCCCAGGUCACGACAUUGCCAUGUCACACUGUCCCUAUGUCACGACAUCCCCACGUCACCAUAUCCCCAUGCCACCCUCAUCCCCAUGUCACGACAUCCCCAUAUCAUGACAUCCCCAUGUCACGAUAUCCCCAUGUCACACUGUCCCCAUGUCAUGGCAUCCCCACGUCACGCUGUCCCCAUGUCACAACAUCCCCAUGUCACGACAUGCUUUUGUCACGACAUCCCCAUGUCACACUGUCCCUAUGUCACGACAUCCCCAUAUUGCGACAUCCCCAUAUCAGAACAUCCCCAUCUCCCGACAUCCCCAUGUCACGAUAUCCCAUCACAACAUCCCCAUGUCACAUCACCCCCAUGUCACGAUAUCCCCAUGUCACGACAUCCCCAUAUCGUGACAUCCCCAUAUCAGAACAUCCCCAUGUCACUACAUCCCCAUCACACAGUCCCUGUGUCCGACUUUCCCCAUGUCACGAUAUCAUCCCCAUGUCACGACAUCCCCAUAUCACGCUGUCCCCAUGUCACGACAUCCCCAUAUGACAUCAUCCCCAGGUCACAACAUCCCCAUGUCACGACAUCCCCAUAUCACGAUACCCCUAUGUCACACUGUCCCUAUGUCACGACAUCCCCACGUCACCAUAUCCCCAUGCCACCCUCAUCCCCAUGUCACGACAUCCCCAUAUCAUGACAUCCCCAUGUCACGAUAUCCCCAUGUCACACUGUCCCCAUGUCAUGGCAUCCCCACGUCACGCUGUCCCCAUGUCACAACAUCCCCAUGUCACGACAUGCUUUUGUCACGACAUCCCCAUGUCACACUGUCUGCAUAUCACGGCAUCCCCACGUCACGCUGUCCCUAUGUCACGACAUCCCCAUAUCGCGACAUCCCCAUAUCAGAACAUCCCCAUCUCCCGACAUCCCCAUGUCACGAUAUCCCAUCACAACAUCCCCAUGUCACAUCAACCCCAUGUCACGAUAUCCCCAUGUCACGACAUCUCCAUAUCGUGACAUCCCCAUAUCAGAACAUCCCCACGUCACGUUGUCCCCAUGUCACAACAUCCCCGUGUCACGACAUUCUUUUGUCACGACAUCCUCAUGUCACACUGUCCGCAUAUCACGACAUCCCCACGUCACGCUGUCCCCAUGUCACGACAUCCCCAUAUCGCGACAUCCCCACGUCACAUCAUCCCCAUGUCACGCUGUCCCCAUGUCAUGACAUCCCCAUAUCACACUGUCCCCAUAUCACGACAUCCCCAUGUCACGACACCCCCAUAGUAGGCUGUCCCCAUGUCACUGCAUCCCCAUGUCACGAUAUCCCCAUGUCACAACAUUCUCACGUCACGACAUCCCCAUGUCACACUGUCCCCACGUCACGACAUCUCCAUAUGACAUCAUCCCCAUGUCACGACAUCCCCAUGUCCCCCUGUCCCCAUGCCACACUGUGCCCAUGUCACAAUAUUUCCACGUCACGACAUCCCUAUGUCAAACUGUCCCCAUGUCACAACACCUCUGCGUCACGUUAUUUCCAUGUCACGACAUCCCCAUAUCAUGACAUCCCCAUGUCACACUUCCCCCAUGUCACGAUAUUUCCACGUCAUGACAUCCCACUGUCACACUGUCCCCAUGUCAAGACAUCCCCACGUCGUGACAUCCCCAUAUCACGACCUCUGCAUGUCACGACAUCCCCAUGUCACACUGUCCCCACGUCACGACAUGCCCAUAUCCCGACAUCCCCACCUCCCUACAUCUCCAUGUCACGACAUCCCCCUGUCACAGCAAUCCCUUGUCACGACAUCCGCAUGUCCUGACAUCUUUGUCAUGACAUCCCCAAUGUCCCGACAUCCCCAUGUCACGACAUCCCCCCAUAACGUCGCCCCCAUGUCACGACAUCCCCGUCGCAAUAUUCCCAUAUCACGACCUCUGCAUGUCCCGACAUCCCCACCUCCUGACCUCCCCAUGUCACGACAUCCCCGUCACGACACCCCCAUGUCAUGACAUCUCCACAUCCUGACAUCCCCAUGUCCCGAUAUUCCCCAUGUCAUGACAUGCUCCUGUCCCAACAUCUCCAUGUCACGACAUCCCCACCUCCUGACAUCCCCAUGUCACGACAUCCUCCCGUUAUGACCUCCCCAUGUCACGACAUCCCCACCUCCCGACUUCCCCAUGUCAUGACAUAUCCCCACAUCCCUGUCACAACCUCCCCAUGUCACGAUAUCCCCCGUCACGACAUCCCCAUAUCGGAACAUCCCCAUGUCACGACAUCCCCACCUCCCGACUUCCCCAUGUCACGACAU